rnacentral:rRNA from 1 species
AACGAACGUUGGCGGCAUGGAUUAGGCAUGCAAGUCGAGCGAGAAGUGUAGCAAUACACGGAAAGCGGCGGAAGGGAGAGUAAUACGUGGGAAUCUGCCCUUAGACCUGGGAUAGCAGCGGGAAACUGCUGGUAAUACCAGAUAAUGUCUAUGGACCAAAGGUGUGAUUCCGUCUAGGGAUGAGCCCACGUCCUAUUAGCUAGUUGGUAGGGUAAUGGCCUACCAAGGCGAUGAUGGGUAGCGGGUGUGAGAGCAUGACCCGCCUCGAUGGGACUGAGACACUGACCAGACACCUACGGGUGGCUGCAGUCGAGAAUCUUCGGCAAUGGGCGCAAGCCUGACCGAGCGAUGCCGCGUGCGGGAUGAAGGCCUUCGGGUUGUAAACCGCUGUCGAGGGGGAGCAACUUCCAUAGAGUUAUCUUUAUGGAUUGAGUGAUCCCUGGAGGAAGGACGGGCUAAGUUCGUGCCAGCCGCCGCUGUAACAC